rnacentral:rRNA from 1 species
GAUGAACGCUAGCGGCAGGCUUAACACAUGCAAGUCGAGGGGUAACAGAGGUAGCUUGCUACUUGCUGACGACCGGCGCACGGGUGCGUAACGCGUAUACAAUUUGCCUUAUACAGGGGGAUAGCCUUUAGAAAUGAAGAUUAAUACCCCAUGGUCUAUGAAUGUGGCAUCACAUUUAUAGUAAAGAUUUAUCGGUAUAAGAUGAGUAUGCGUUCUAUUAGUUUGUUGGUGAGGUAACGGCUCACCAAGACUGCGAUAGAUAGGGGUCCUGAGAGGGAGAUCCCCCACACUGGUACUGAGACACGGACCAGACUCCUACGGGAGGCAGCAGUGAGGAAUAUUGGGCAAUGGAGGCAACUCUGACCCAGCCAUGCCGCGUGUAGGAAGACUGCCCUAUGGGUUGUAAACUACUUUUAUAGAGGAAGAAACCCUCCCACGUGUGGGAGGCUGACGGUACUCUACGAAUAAGGACCGGCUAACUCCG